AUACCCAUACCCAUACCCAUACCAGGACUCGAGAGUAUCACGUUCUAGGUAACUAUGGGUAGCAUUGACUUGGAAGUGGAAGAUAAAAAUCUCGUAGAAGCUUCUGCAUGGAUAGAGAGAUUUUAAUGUCUCACCAUUUUUUCCAAAUCUUUUUGGUGUACAUUAGUUAAUAAAAGAUUUUAAUGUCUUAUAUUUGAUGGCCAUCGUGAAUUGUGUGUUGAUUAACUUGGCUAAUGACAGACGUCCAAUCACAUGGCC
rnacentral:misc_RNA from 1 species